rnacentral:rRNA from 1 species
CCAAUAGCGUAUAUUAAAGUUGUUGCAGUUAAAAAGCUCGUAGUUGAAUUUCGGGGUCAGUAGGCUGGUCGUGCCACGGGUAUGCACUGGUCUCACUGAUUCCUCCUUCCUGAUGAACCGUAAUGCCAUUAAUUUGGUGUUGCGGGGAAUCUGGACUGUUACUUUGAAAAAAUUAGAGUGUUUAAAGCAGGCUAACGCUUGAAUACAUUAGCAUGGAAUAAUGAAAUAGGACGAUCGAUCCUAUUUUGUUGGUUUCUAGGAUUGACGUAAUGAUUAAUAGGGAUAGUUGGGGGAAUUAGUAUUCAAUUGUCAGAGGUGAAAUUCUUGGAUUUAUUGAAGACUAACUACUGUGAAAGCAUUUGCCAAGGAUGUUUUCAUUAAUCAAGAACGAAAGUUAGGGGAUCGAAGACGAGCAGAUACCGUCGUAGUCUUAACCAUAAACUAUGCCGACUAGGGAUCGGAUGAUGUUAAUUUUUUAAUGACUCAUUCGGCGCCUUACG